rnacentral:misc_RNA from 1 species
GUAGGUGAACCUGCGGAAGGAUCAUUAACACGUUUCGUUCCGAACGUUUUCUGACCUCCUUUUUUUCUGUGAACCAAAAACAAAGACCCGGCUCUGCUUCGGUGUGGAUCGGCAAGUAACAUUGCUGUGAAAACACUUUGGCUUGGCCACCUUUUCACCCAACCUUGAAUCUAAUUGUUCUGAACCUUUAGUUGAUGGGAAACUGUCAACGAAUAAAAAAUAAACAACAACUCUUAACAACGGAUAUCUUGGUUCUC